UUGGGGUUGCAUACUUUGAUACAUUUUUAUACUUCCAGGAUGCAUAGCAAACCUUGAGCUAUGAGCCUCUGUCAUGAUGUUCUUUUUCAGUUCACCGUCACUUGGAACACACAUCAUGUCCUGAAAUCUGAGCAACCUAUCGGCAGAUACUCGAAAUUCUAAAUUUACUCCGUGUUCUACAUCCUUUCUAAGAGCUGCUAGGGUAGAAUCUGCAGAUUGGACUUCCUUUAUUCUCUGGAUCAAUUCAGGUCGAAUAGUCAGGUGGGUCAAGCAUGUAACUCUCUUCAAGUCUUGAAGUCAUAUCUAUUGUGCAGCCUCUGUUACCCUGCAUUUAGAAACCAUUAUGUGAACUAACAUACCUACACUUUUUUUGCUGAGCGUGUUAGUUUCCACAUUACCCUUACUCGAGUGAUACAAAAUAUUAUAAUCGUAGUCCUUGAGGAGCUUUAUCUAACAUCUCUGACGCAUGUUGAGAUCCUUCUGAGUGAAUAUGUACUUCAAGCUCUUAUGGUCGGUAUAGAUAUCAAAAGUCUCCCCAUAUAAGUAAUGGUGUCAGUUCUUCAAAACGUGGAUAAUAACGCUAAGUUUU
rnacentral:lncRNA from 1 species